rnacentral:rRNA from 1 species
UACGAAGGGGGCUAGCGUUGCUCGGAAUUACUGGGCGUAAAGCGCACGUAGGCGGCUUUCUAAGUCGGGGGUGAAAUCCUGGAGCUCAACUCCAGAACUGCCUUUGAUACUGGCAAUCUAGAGUCCGGAAGAGGUGAGUGGAACUCCUAGUGUAGAGGUGGAAUUCGUAGAUAUUAGGAAGAACACCAGUGGCGAAGGCGGCUUACUGGUCCGGUUCUGACGCUGAGGCGCGAAAGCGUGGGGAGCAAACAGG